GGACGAACGCUGGCGGCGUGCUUAACACAUGCAAGUCGAGCGGUAAGGCCCUUCGGGGUACACGAGCGGCGAACGGGUGAGUAACACGUGGGUAACCUGCCCUGUACUCCGGGAUAAGCCUGGGAAACUAGGUCUAAUACCGGAUACGACCCCAUGGGGCAUCUUGUGGGGUGGAAAGUUCCGGCGGUAUGGGAUGGACCCGCGGCCUAUCAGCUUGUUGGUGGGGUAGUGGCCUACCAAGGCGACGACGGGUAGCCGGCCUGAGAGGGUGACCGGCCACACUGGGACUGAGACACGGCCCAGACUCCUACGGGAGGCAGCAGUGGGGAAUAUUGCACAAUGGGCGAAAGCCUGAUGCAGCGACGCCGCGUGAGGGAUGACGGCCUUCGGGUUGUAAACCUCUUUCAGCAGGGACGAAGCGCAAGUGACGGUACCUGCAGAAGAAGCACCGGCUAACUACGUGCCAGCAGCCGCGG
rnacentral:rRNA from 1 species